GAACAAUUGCAGCUCCACAUUUGCCUGGUGAAAAAAAACCCUCAAAGAUACGAUUGGGUACGUCAAAGUAAAGCAAGACAGGCAUUGCAUCGAUGUUUUCCAGACUUACUGGGAAAUUCAACCGGAUGUCCAGCCCUUCAGCCAGCUUAUCAAUGACAGUAGAAUAUCCCACAGUUAGAAGAGUGUGAUCUCCAGCAAACUGAGCAAAAAACUCAUUAUGGUCCCAUGAGCGUGCAGAUACCUGUGGACAGAACAUAACGUAGCUGUCUCUACUGGUUCUCCCAUGAUUGCUUUCACUGACAUUUUCUCCCCCCACAGACCCAUAGUACAAUAGUAAUAUUUGCACUUGGCAGUCACCACCUGGCAGUGAAGCAAUUCUCAAACUGUUAUUGAAAUGACAAUUCCUAUCACUGCAGUUGCAUUCACACCAUAUCAUACAGUCAACAGAAUACUUAGGAGUGGUG
rnacentral:lncRNA from 1 species